rnacentral:rRNA from 1 species
GACGAACGCUGGCGGCGUGCUUAACACAUGCAAGUCGAACGAUGAAGCACCAGCUUGCUGGUGUGGAUUAGUGGCGAACGGGUGAGUAACACGUGAGUAACCUGCCCCUCACUCUGGGAUAAGCCUGGGAAACUGGGUCUAAUACUGGAUACGACCGAUCUCCGCAUGGAGUGUUGGUGGAAAGUUUUUGUGGUGGGGGAUGGACUCGCGGCCUAUCAGCUUGUUGGUGGGGUAAUGGCCUACCAAGGCGACGACGGGUAGCCGGCCUGAGAGGGCGACCGGCCACACUGGGACUGAGACACGGCCCAGACUCCUACGGGAGGCAGCAGUGGGGAAUAUUGCACAAUGGGCGAAAGCCUGAUGCAGCGACGCCGCGUGAGGGAUGACGGCCUUCGGGUUGUAAACCUCUUUCACCAGGGACGAAGCUAACGUGACGGUACCUGGAGAAGAAGCACCGGCUAACUACGUGCCAGCCGCCGCCGUAACAC